rnacentral:rRNA from 1 species
GAUGAACGCUGGCGGCGUGCCUAAUACAUGCAAGUCGAGCGAACGGACGAGAAGCUUGCUUCUCUGAUGUUAGCGGCGGACGGGUGAGUAACACGUGGAUAACCUACCUAUAAGACUGGGAUAACUUCGGGAAACCGGAGCUAAUACCGGAUAAUAUUUUGAACCGCAUGGUUCUAAAGUGAAAGACGGUCUUGCUGUCACUUAUAGAUGGAUCCGCGCUGCAUUAGCUAGUUGGUAAGGUAACGGCUUACCAAGGCAACGAUGCAUAGCCGACCUGAGAGGGUGAUCGGCCACACUGGAACUGAGACACGGUCCAGACUCCUACGGGAGGCAGCAGUAGGGAAUCUUCCGCAAUGGGCGAAAGCCUGACGGAGCAACGCCGCGUGAGUGAUGAAGGUCUUCGGAUCGUAAAACUCUGUUAUUAGGGAAGAACAUAUGUGUAAGUAACUGUGCACAUCUUGACGGUACCUAAUCAGAAAGCCACGGCUAACUACGUG